GACGAACGCUGGCGGCGUGCUUAACACAUGCAAGUCGAACGGAAAGGCCCUGCUUUUGUGGGGUGCUCGAGUGGCGGACGGGUGAGUAACACGUGAGUAACCUGCCCUUGACUUUGGGAUAACUUCAGGAAACUGGGGCUAAUACCGGAUAGGAGCUCCUGCUGCAUGGUGGGGGUUGGAAAGUUUCGGCGGUUGGGGAUGGACUCGCGGCUUAUCAGCUUGUUGGUGGAGUAGUGGCUUACCAAGGCUUUGACGGGUAGCCGGCCUGAGAGGGUGACCGGCCACAUUGGGACUGAGAUACGGCCCAGACUCCUACGGGAGGCAGCAGUGGGGAAUAUUGCACAAUGGGCGGAAGCCUGAUGCAGCAACGCCGCGUGCGGGAUGACGGCCUUCGGGUUGUAAACCGCUUUCGCCUGUGACGAAGCGUGAGUGACGGUAAUGGGUAAAGAAGCACCGGCUAACUACGUG
rnacentral:rRNA from 1 species